UGUUUCAUUUAAAGUAUCCGCACCACCGACCCUUGUCGUCGUGCUUUGUAAGAAAAUUAAUUCUUCAUAAAAUUUCCAUUUUAUUUCUUAAUAUCUGCAGCACCAGCACCUGUGGUUUUUGUAGACAACAUUUUCUUCCUCUCUCUUGCAAAUUGCGACCGCAAUAUAUGCAUUUUAUUCUCAACAUCUGUUUUUGGAAUUGCCAAAGCAUUCGAAAUUUCUUCCCAGGCGUCAUUCUUUUUUAUUUUAUUUUUAUAGUCCUUUGUCGAGCAAUCCCAUAAUAUUCGUUUUUUCUCAAACAGUUCUAUCAAUUUAAAGACAGUUUCAUCGUCCCACACUACAGCCAUGUUUAUAAACAAAUGUUUAGACGCGUCCACACUCGCAUGCACCUGUUGCGCAACUGAUUUGCUUCUGUGUUCUCCGUCACAAGUGGGGAGCACCGAAACAUACCGAUAAACACGUAGUGUUUACAGAAACAAAAUUAUAUGUUUCUGAAACAAAAUGAUUUGUUUCAGAAACACGUAGAUUUUGUUUCUGAAACAGAGUUUAUAAACAAUUGUUGCUCAGUGAAUACGUGGCUUUAUACUCACUAACGCACAUAAUUAUUUUUCAGGAUAAGAACCCAAUACAUAAAUCAGCAUAGUAUUUGAUUUGAUGCCUAUUUCUAAUUGAAUUGAAUUACUUUUAACAGCUAUUCAUAAACGUGAAUAAUUAUAGUCUUUGAAUACCAUGUCAUUUCAUACGCGAAAUGAAUCGUCAUUACUUCCUUAAGGUGCGUUCUGAAACUAUUAUUCUAAACAAUUUCGAAAAAGUUACAAAUCAAAAAUAUGUAUGUAGUAUCUUUUUUGUGGCUUCUUAUAGAGAUAUAUCUUGUGUUUUUUAAAACCUUAAAAAAUAAAGAUAUUUUUUAUAUAUAUGGCAUUUAGUGACGCCAUCGAUUCGUCAUCAGGUACAAUUUGGCCAUCCUUCUUUAAGGGGAAUGUGGGGGUCACAAAUGGUUCCCGUUACCUGCCGCCAUUUCAUCCAUCCUAUGUUAAUUCGGUGCUUGACCGCCCGAUCUAUUUCGCCAUCGCUUUGAAUGUAUGAACCAAGAUACCGAAAGUCGGAGCAGACUGGAAGGCGCACGCCAUCAAGCGUUGAAGCUUCGGGACUGGAGAGACCGCCGAACAUGUAUUCAGUCUUAGUUCUGCUGAUUUUCAAGCCAACACUCUCCAGUUUCCGCUGCCACCCCUCCCGUCUGCUCUGGAUCUGGAGUCCAUCAUUACCAACCAGAACAAUGUCAUCGGCGAACAGCAUGCACCAGGGUUCUCUUCCUGUAUGUCCGCCGUUAGCCCAUCCAUAAUCAGCAGGAAGAGGUAAGGACCGCCGUACACGGACUGCUCGAGCAGUUAGCGGCUGAGUGAAAUACACGGACCGCUCGAGCGGUCGGCGUCGACUGCUUGAGCUGUCGGUUGUUGACUGCUCGAGCUACGACCCAACUGCUCGAGCAGUUGAUUUUCUACCACAGUCGAGUCAUGGAUUCUGACGAGGAAGCACUGCUUUUGCUGCUCCUGCUCAGGCGGAGACGACGGCGGCGACGUCAAAAGAGAAAAUUUUGGGUUCAUCCAAUUUUGCAAUUAAGAGAACAACGUGGACAAUUCCAUCAUUUGUUUAUGGAACUUAGAAGUGAAGAAGAAAAAUUUUUCAACUAUUUUAGAAUGUCAAUGUCUUCGUUUGAUGAAUUGUAUAAUAUACUAAAGUCUCACAUUAAACGUGAAGACACAAUUAUGAGGAGAAGUAUCCAACCUGAAGAAAGACUAGCAGUAACAUUGAGGUAUUUGGCAACUGGAUGUACAUUUAUGGAUUUGCAAUAUAGUUUUAGAAUAGCAUCAACAACAAUAGGUAAGAUAGUGAGGGAUGUUUGCAGAAAUAUAUGGAUACAUAUGAAGGAUAUGUGUAUGGAACAACUAACUGAAGAUAAAUGGAAAGACAUAAUAAAUGGUUUCAAAAAAAAUGCUAAUUUUCCGAACUGCCUCGGUGCCGUUGAUGGCAAACAUAUUAGAAUAAUACAACCCGCACAAAGUGGAUCGUCAUAUUAUAACUAUAAAAAUUAUUUUUGAUAAUACUUCUAGCAGUAUGUGAUAGUAAUUAUAUGUUCACUUUCGUGGAUAUAGGCUCAUAUGGGAGGCACGCUGACUCGACUAUUUUCGAAGAGAGUUGUCUAUAUAAAAUGUUACAAGAAAAAAAGUUAAAUAUACCUCCACCUUCUGCAAUAUCACAAAAUGGACCGUUAUUACCGAAUGUGUUUAUUGGGGAUGAAGCGUUUAGCUUGCAGGAAAAUUUAAUGCGUCCAUAUGGUGGCAAGAAUUUACCAGAGAAAAAAAAAAUUUUUAACUAUCGGUUAUCACGUGCGAGGCGAUAUAUUGAAUGCACGUUUGGCAUAUUUGCUAAUAAAUGGCGGAUCUUUCAUAGACCACUUAACGUCAAUGUUGAUUUCGCAGUGGAUAUAGUAAAAUCAUCGUGUGUUCUUCACAACUACGUAAAACAACGA